rnacentral:tRNA from 1 species
CAGAUUUUUGCUAGGCAGCGUUGUUAUUUACAUUAAUAAUUAAAUUUGUGCAAUUCAAAUUGAUCUGA